CUCGGCAACGGAUAUCUCGGCUCUCGCAUCGAUGAAGAACGCAGCGAAAUGCGAUACUUGGUGUGAAUUGCAGAAUCCCGUGAACCAUCGAGUCUUGUGAACGCGAGUUGCGCCCGAAGCCUUCGGGCCGAGGGCACGCCUGCCUGGGCGUCACGCAUAGUGUCGCCCCCCCCAACCCGCCCGCUCC
rnacentral:rRNA from 1 species